rnacentral:tRNA from 1 species
GCCCCGCUAGCUCAGUUGGUAGAGCAGCGGACUUUUAAUCCGACGGUCCGGGGUUCGAGUCCCUGGCGGGGCA